GCCAGCCGCCAUAUCACCCUGUAGCCCAAGACUGGUUGCCCACUGAAGCUAAGCAGGGCGGAGCCUGGUCAGUACCAGGAUGGGAGACCUCCUGGGAAAACUAGGUUGCUGCUGGAA
rnacentral:rRNA from 1 species